UCCAAAGUUCACAAUGUUUCAAAACCAUUUCGUCCGAUCACUGAAGUUAAGCAACGUCGAGCGUGAAAGCACUUGGAUGGUCGACCGCUUGGGAACACGACGUAACUUUGGCA
rnacentral:rRNA from 1 species